AUAGGGGAGCCGGAGGGAAACCGAGUCUUAAUUGGGCGUUAAGUUGCAGGGUAUAGACCCGAAACCCGGUGAUCUAGCCAUGGGCAGGUUGAAGGUUGGGUAACACUAACUGGAGGACCGAACCGACUAAUGUUGAAAAAUUAGCGGAUGACCUGUGGCUGGGGGUGAAAGGCCAAUCAAACCGGGAGAUAGCUGGUUCUCCCCGAAAGCUAUUUAGGUAGCGCCUCGUGAAUUCAUCUCCGGGGGUAGAGCACUGUUUCGGCUAGGGGGCCAUCCCGGCUUACCAACCCGAUGCAAACUGCGAAUACCGGAGAAUGUUAUCACGGGAGACACACGGCGGGUGCUAACGUCCGUCGUGAAGAGGGAAACAACCCAGACCGCCAGCUAAGGUCCCAAAGUCAUGGUUAAGUGGGAAACGAUGUGGGAAGGCCCAGACAGCCAGGAUGUUGGCUUAGAAGCAGCCAUCAUUUAAAGAAAGCGUAAUAGCUCACUGGUCGAGUCGGCCUGCGCGGAAGAUGUAACGGGGCUAAACCAUGCACCGAAGCUGCGGCAGCGAACGUAUCACCCAAGACAACUUUACGGAGUUGACGAUUGACGGAGCGAAGCGACGUCAAAGCGUUCAUUAAAGUCGAGUUGGCUUAGGGAUACGUUCGUUGGGUAGGGGAGCGUUCUGUAAGCCUGUGAAGGUGUGUCGUGAGGCAUGCUGGAGGUAUCAGAAGUGCGAAUGCUGACAUAAGUAACGAUAAAGCGGGUGAAAAGCCCGCUCGCCGGAAGACCAAGGGUUCCUGUCCAACGUUAAUCGGGGCAGGGUGAGUCGACCCCUAAGGCGAGGCCGAAAGGCGUAGUCGAUGGGAAACGGGUUAAUAUUCCCGUACUUGGUGUUACUGCGAAGGGGGGACGGAGAAGGCUAUGUUGGCCGGGCGACGGUUGUCCCGGUUUAAGCGUGUAGGUGUGUGUUCCAGGUAAAUCCGGUUCACUUUAACACUGAGGCGUGACGACGAGGCACUACGGUGCUGAAGCAACAAAUGCCCUGCUUCCAGGAAAAGCCUCUAAGCAUCAGGUAACAUCAAAUCGUACCCCAAACCGACACAGGUGGUCAGGUAGAGAAUACCAAGGCGCUUGAGAGAACUCGGGUGAAGGAACUAGGCAAAAUGGUGCCGUAACUUCGGGAGAAGGCACGCUGACACGUAGGUGAAGUGAUUUACUCAUGGAGCUGAAGUCAGUCGAAGAUACCAGCUGGCUGCAACUGUUUAUUAAAAACACAGCACUGUGCAAACACGAAAGUGGACGUAUACGGUGUGACGCCUGCCCGGUGCCGGAAGGUUAAUUGAUGGGGUCAGCGCAAGCGAAGCUCCUGAUCGAAGCCCCGGUAAACGGCGGCCGUAACUAUAACGGUCCUAAGGUAGCGAAAUUCCUUGUCGGGUAAGUUCCGACCUGCACGAAUGGCGUAAUGAUGGCCAGGCUGUCUCCACCCGAGACUCAGUGAAAUUGAACUCGCUGUGAAGAUGCAGUGUACCCGCGGCAAGACGGAAAGACCCCGUGAACCUUUACUAUAGCUUGACACUGAACAUUGAGCCUUGAUGUGUAGGAUAGGUGGGAGGCUUUGAAGUGUGGACGCCAGUCUGCAUGGAGCCGACCUUGAAAUACCACCCUUUAAUGUUUGAUGUUCUAACGUGGACCCGUAAUCCGGGUUGCGGACAGUGUCUGGUGGGUAGUUUGACUGGGGCGGUCUCCUCCUAAAGAGUAACGGAGGAGCACGAAGGUUGGCUAAUCCUGGUCGGACAUCAGGAGGUUAGUGCAAUGGCAUAAGCCAGCUUGACUGCGAGCGUGACGGCGCGAGCAGGUGCGAAAGCAGGUCAUAGUGAUCCGGUGGUUCUGAAUGGAAGGGCCAUCGCUCAACGGAUAAAAGGUACUCCGGGGAUAACAGGCUGAUACCGCCCAAGAGUUCAUAUCGACGGCGGUGUUUGGCACCUCGAUGUCGGCUCAUCACAUCCUGGGGCUGAAGUAGGUCCCAAGGGUAUGGCUGUUCGCCAUUUAAAGUGGUACGCGAGCUGGGUUUAGAACGUCGUGAGACAGUUCGGUCCCUAUCUGCCGUGGGCGCUGGAGAACUGAGGGGGGCUGCUCCUAGUACGAGAGGACCGGAGUGGACGCAUCACUGGUGUUCGGGUUGUCAUGCCAAUGGCACUGCCCGGUAGCUAAAUGCGGAAGAGAUAAGUGCUGAAAGCAUCUAAGCACGAAACUUGCCCCGAGAUGAGUUCUCCCUGAGACUUAGAGUCUCCUGAAGGAACGUUGAAGACGACGACGUUGAUAGGCCGGGUGUGUAAGCGCAGCGAUGCGUUGAG
rnacentral:rRNA from 1 species